UUGUUGCUGGCUCCUUGAAAAAGAGGGGUAGGUGCACGCUUGUCAUUUUUAUCUUUCCUCUUGUGCACAUUUUGUAGACCCUAGAACUUUGUUGAUUUAUUCAGAAUAAAGGAUUGCUGUGAUUUCAUUUCAGCUUUGCCUUAAAUUUAUCUGGGUCUAUGUUUUUCACAACCUCUUGAAAUAGUAUUAGAAUGUUGAAUGGAAUUGGGUCCUUUGUACCUAUAACAAAUUGAAUACAACUUUCAGCAACGGAUCUCUUGGCUCUCGCAUCGAUGAAGAACGCAGCGAAAUGCGAUAAGUAAUGUGAAUUGCAGAAUUCAGUGAAUCAUCGAAUCUUUGAACGCAUCUUGCGCUUCUUGGUAUUCCAAGAAGCAUGCCUGUUUGAGUGUCAUUAAAUUCUCAACCAUAUCAAUUGUUCUUUGAUGUGGAUUUGGAUAUUGGGGGUCUAUUUUUGCAGGCCUUUUUUUAAAGUCUGCUCCCCUUAAAUGAAUUAGUGGUUACUUUGGCAGAACCUACUGAAGGUAUGAUAAUUAUCUAUACCUUUUGGUAGUGUCCCUGUG
rnacentral:rRNA from 1 species